rnacentral:tRNA from 1 species
UGUGAUGUAGCUCAAUUGGUAGAGUGCUUGCCCGGCAUGCACAAACCCCUGGGUUCAAUCCCCGCCACCACAU